rnacentral:rRNA from 1 species
AAACCAGCACCUCAAGUGGUCAGGAUGAUUAUUGGGCCUAAAGCAUCCGUAGCCUGUUCUGUAAGUUUUCGGUUAAAUCCAUUAGCUCAACUAAUGGGCUGCCGAAAAUACUGUAGAACUAGGGAGUGGGAGAGGUAGACGGUAUUCGGUAGGAAGGGGUAAAAUCCUUUGAUCUAUUGAGGACCACCUGUGGCGAAGGCGGUCUACCAGAACACGUUCGACGGUGAGGGAUGAAAGCUGGGGGAGCAAACCGGAUUAGAAACCCGAGUAGUCC